GCGCAGCAGGCGCGAAUCUUCCCCAAUGGACGAAAGUCUGAGGGGGCGACGCCGCGUGAAUGAAGAAGCCCUUCGGGGUGUAAAAUUCUUUUCUUUAGGAAAAUUCGUGAUGGUACUAAAGGAAUAAGGGGCCGCCAAACUCGUGCCAGCAGCGGCGGUAAUACGAGUGCCCCGAGCGUUAUCCGGAAUUACUGGGCGUAAAGCGCUAAAAGGCGGUUUGAUAAAGUCAGACGUUCAAAUCUCCGAGCUCAACUCGGAGCCGGUGUCUGAAACUGUCUAACUUGAGGACGGAGAGGCAAGCGGAAUGGCUGGUGUAG
rnacentral:rRNA from 1 species